rnacentral:lncRNA from 1 species
UGGAAAAUCUAAAAGAAGUUUUGUAUGCUUAGUACUUGGUCUUAACAGGUAAAUGGGAUUCCAGAAGUGAAGAGGCCAGGGCCUAGGGGCUGCAGAGAUUACCUGGCCAAAAUUCACACUAAAGUGAGGCAGCAGAGCACACAGUUCUACUGGCCCUGGACAGGCCAUCUGCAAAUCCCAGCUCUUCCCCACCACUGCCACCUGCUCCCUGGGCUGCCAGAGUAGGAGUUGUCCUGAGCUACGUCACUGACUAUCUGGAAGCCCUGGCAGCUGAGUCAGUGCUCCAUAAGUCAUGCAGAAGCACAGCCUGACACAGUGAGGUAUUUAAUGAACACCUUUUGGAAGAUGAAUGGAUAAAAGGGUGGUGUGUGGAG